UACGGGGGGGGCAAGCGUUGUUCGGAAUUACUGGGCGUAAAGGGCUCGUAGGCGGCCGCACAAGUCCGACGUGAAAUCCCACGGCUCAACCGUGGAACUGCGUCGGAAACUAGGUGGCUUGAAUCCAAGAGAGGGAUGCGGAAUUCCAGGUGUAGCGGUGAAAUGCGUAGAUAUCUGGAGGAACACCGGUGGCGAAGGCGGCAUCCUGGAUUGGUAUUGACGCUGAUGAGCGAAAGCCAGGGGAGCAAACGGG
rnacentral:rRNA from 1 species